rnacentral:other from 1 species
AAAGUCCUGAUGUGUUUGUUGUACACCUAGUUUUGACCGAACAUUUUUUUUACUUGGGAGUUCGAUGUUUCCGAAUGGAGCAAAUGCCUCUUAUCACUCGUGUGCUCAGGAGGACUUGCAAAGUUUGGAACAGAACACCCACCUGCCGAGAGCGGGAUCAAAACGAAGGAAUACGACAACGGCACAAUCGGGACUUUU